AUCUAAUAGGAUGCAACCUGGAGGGCUCAGGGAUGAAACAGCUGUAUGAUUACCUGGAGAGUCCACACUGUAAACUACAGUUUAAAAGAGUGUCUGUGGUUUAGAUGCUGCACUGUGUCUUAAACAGAUCAAGACAUGCAGUGAUGCCUACAGACUAAUCCUGAAAGGAAUCAGUGGUCGAAGCUUGGCUCUACUCAGACUUCCUGAAUCUGUUCCAGAACAUAUAAAGACACAAAGACAGUCUUAACUCUAAUGUCAAGCUUUGGUUUAUAGAUAAGGUCUUUGGAAACUAAUGAACUUCUCUUCAGUGGAUGGAGUACAGGACUGAGGUAAAACACCUCGUCAUUUCCACUUCAGACACUCCUAUAUGCCUUUACUUCCUGGAUGACUCCUAUGAACCAGUGAGUGUAUCAGUAUGGAAAUGUUGACUUUUCUACAGUGUGAAACGUUCAGCUCACCCAGCUAAAGGACACUUUACACUUCAGUUUUGAUUUGUUACAGAGCAGAAUCUUGUGAAACAGGUUUCAUUGCACUGAUUUCACACCCAAGGACCCAC